rnacentral:rRNA from 1 species
AUACGUAGGGGGCGAGCGUUGUCCGGAAUGAUUGGGCGUAAAGGGCGCGUAGGCGGCCCGGUAAGUCUGGAGUGAAAGUCCUGUUUUUAAGAUGGGAAUUGCUUUGGAUACUGUCGGGCUUGAGUGCAGGAGAGGUAAGUGGAAUUCCCAGUGUAGCGGUGAAAUGCGUAGAGAUUGGGAGGAACACCAGUGGCGAAGGCGACUUACUGGACUGUAACUGACGCUGAGGCGCGAAAGCGUGGGGAGCGAACAGGAUUAGAUACCCUGGUAGUCCACGCGGUAAACGAUGAAUGCUAGGUGUAGCGGGUAUCGACCCCUGCUGUGCCGCAGUAAACACAAUAAGCAUUCCGCCUGGGGAGUACGGCCGCAAGGUUGAAACUUAAAGGAAUUGACGGGG